rnacentral:rRNA from 1 species
AGAACGAACGCUGGCGGCAUGCCUAACACAUGCAAGUCGAACGAGACCUUCGGGUCUAGUGGCGCACGGGUGCGUAACGCGUGGGAAUCUGCCCUUAGGUACGGAAUAACAGUGAGAAAUUACUGCUAAUACCGUAUGAUGUCUUCGGACCAAAGAUUUAUCGCCUAGGGAUGAGCCCGCGUUGGAUUAGCUAGUUGGUGGGGUAAAGGCCUACCAAGGCGACGAUCCAUAGCUGGUCUGAGAGGAUGAUCAGCCACACUGGGACUGAGACACGGCCCAGACUCCUACGGGAGGCAGCAGUGGGGAAUAUUGGACAAUGGGCGAAAGCCUGAUCCAGCAAUGCCGCGUGAGUGAAGAAGGCCUUAGGGUUGUAAAGCUCUUUUACCCGGGAAGAUAAUGACUGUACCGGGAGAAUAAGCCCGGCUAACUCCGUGCCAGCAGCCGCGA